rnacentral:rRNA from 1 species
CACGUAGGGUGCGAGCGUUGUCCGGAAUUAUUGGGCGUAAAGAGCUCGUAGGCGGUGUGUCGCGUCGGCCGUGAAAACCUGCAGCUUAACUGUGGGCGUGCGGUCGAUACGGGCAUCACUGGAGUUCGGCAGGGGAGACUGGAAUUCCUGGUGUAGCGGUGAAAUGCGCAGAUAUCAGGAGGAACACCGGUGGCGAAGGCGGUUCUCUGGGAAUAUCCUGACGCUGAGGCGCGAAAGCGUGGGGAGCGAACAGG